ACAUUUACUCUAUGUAGUGAUUGAGUCUAAUUAGCUAAGUAUCUUAAAUAUAUUUUUUAUUAAUAACUAAAUUAACUAAUUAACUAAUUUCCACAAACUGAACUAAAGGGUUUAUCUCCAGUAUGACUGCUCACUUGUCUCCUCUCCUUGCUUCCUCUCCUCCUGUCAUCCUCUCCUCUUCCACUCUUUCAUCUAGAUGGAUGCUGUGGACCACCAUAAGCAGCACAGGCUGGUGUCCACAGCCCCUGGUCUGUCUCGGCAUCUCAAGGUGGAUUUGCCUAACCCUGACCCUGACCCUUACCCAGAGGAGACUACCACUACCACCAUUAAUAUGGACCUGCACAUUGCCAAGGAAAAUAACAAUGAGGGCCAGACCCCCCCUGAAAAGUCAGAAGAUCAGGAGGAGGGAGAGACGACGGACGAGCCAGACAUACGAGAGGAGGAAACGGACCAGUGCCCUUCAGACCCAGAUGUUCCUAAACUGAAGAGAACUGAGAGUGUCUUUCUUACAAAGGAAAUGCUUGGGAACUCUGACUAUAAAUCAAUGACAAGCAGUGAAAUAAGUGAGGAUGAGUAUGUGAAGAUGUUGUGAGACUGCACAACCAUAUUGACACAGAAAGGCCCAAGUAUCGAUCCAAUCUUGAAACUGCACCAAAUAAGAGGAACUGGUUAAGUCUUGCUAAACUAAUGCUUUGUGAAGUAAUCGUCUUCAAUCGUAGGAGAGAGGGAGAAGUUUCAAAGAUGUUCCUGACUGACUUCCUGUUGAGAAACACCUUUGCCAGUAAUCCAGAUCUUGACCUUGCCUUGACUGACAUGGAAAAGAAGCUCUGCAAAUACUUUGAGCGUGUGGAAAUCAAAGACCUGACGCAGAAAGUCACGUCAGAGGAUCUGAUGCCAUCCGUGCCUUUGCACAUGAAUGCGGGGUGAAGGACCCUCAAACAUUGACAUCGACAAGAUUAAGGAAACAAAUGGCAACAAUGUCACAAGUUCUGAACUUGAAAGACAAUGAGGAGGACUGCCUCGCAGGUUUUAUGGGUCACAACAUCAGGGUCCAUCGACAAUAUUAUCGGCUCCCUGAAGGGACAUUACAAGUUGCCAAAGUUGCAAAGUUGCUUAUGGCCUGUGAGAGAGGCGAGCUAUCACAAUUUAAAGGCAUGACAUUGGACGAGAUCAGCAUUGAUCCAACUGAGGAAGUACCUGAAGACGGCUCUCUAUCUGGAAGUGAAGAUGAAGGUGUGAUGUCGAGUUUAUCCUCCAACUCAUCAGGUCUAAGACCAGUUGAGAGGACAACUACAGAGGAGGACCAGGAGUCUGAAUCACAGCUAACCAGAGGUAGAUCAAGGACCUGGACAAAGGACCAUGAGUCUGCCUCAUCACAUCCGAGAAAAGGUCUCACUACUGCAAUCCGAGACUAUGGGACGUCCCGGAGGAAUCUCGGAUGGCCUACUCCAGGCCGCAGGGUCCUUAUGGAUUUUGGGCAACAUAUAGAAGAGCCUGGGCCUGGGCUCGGCGUCCCCGAUGAGGUAAUUGCGUUCACUGCAAAAAUGCCCUCUAAAAAAUAAAAAAAUACAGUGUUUUAGGUGAAAAAUUGCUUAUUUUGAGCAAAAUAAUCUGCCAGUGCAGCAAGCAAAUGGGACUUGGUAAGAUUUCUUAAAACAAGACAAUAAUAUCCAAGUAGUAAGCAUGCAAAAAAACUUAAAUCAAGUAUAAAAAUCUAUUUUUUCUUUUACUUGUUAAGAUUUUUUCUCUUAUUUUAAGCAAUGUAUUCUCAUUUAUUAGCCAUUAUUGCUUAGAAUUAAAUGUCCUCUAAGCAAUUAUUGCUCAAAACAAGCAUACAACAGGCUUAAAAACAAGGCAAAUGUACUUGAUACUAGCUAAUUUAAAGGCUUAAAACUAGUCUGAUUUUCUUAUCUAGAAUACUUAUUUUCUUAUCUAGAAUUAAUUUCUUGUUUAGGUGUAGUGAAUGUAUGGGAAAAAUACACUUGACAAGAACUUCAAAAAAAAAGUUUUUUAUUACGAUUUUAGCAGCCCCCACCCCCCCCCCCCCCAAAAAAAAACAACAACAACCACGUGCCAAAGCUGACUGGCAGGCCUAACAAUGAAGAUAUGAUCGAGACAGGGCCUAUUCAAACAAUGAACCUGAGCAACCUGAACUAUUCAAACCAUGAACCGGAGCGUGCAUCUCUCAUACACCCUACCUAAGAAAGGCCAGCCAGUCAGCUUUGGCACGUUUAAAAGCUGCUGUUUGGUCUUUCUCAUGAAUCGCAUCACCCAAGACCUCGGUCUGAAGGAAUAACAGAACCGAUGACACACAUUUUGGAUACGUCAUGCGAAAUGCGUAGUAGUACGCCAUGACGUACAGGACCGACUCAGCAAGACUGCUCCUAUCAAAGGACACAACAGGGGCAUUUCCGGCGCAGAGGAAGCAGUCCUCCUCUCCUACCAGGAUGAACGGUGUGGCUAGUGGCCGUCUUCUCAGAUACAUUUCUGGGGCCUCUGUGGGCUGAACAUCAACACAAGAUUACAUUACACUUAGCUGACGCUUUUCUAUCCAACUUGCAGUUACAGUACAGUUACAGUACGACUUACAGUUAGGCCUAUUUACAGGGUAUUGGUUACAGUCCCUGGAGCAAUGUGGGGAUUGGUGCCUUGCUCAAGGGCACCUCAGCCAUGGAGGGAGGAAGAGACUAGUAAGGAUGGGGAUUGAACCGGCAACUCUGUGAUCUACCGUCCAACGCCCUAACCAUUACACCAUGGCUGCCCAAAGAUAAAGCUAAAGAUAAAGCAAGACUUUAUGCUCAAAUGCUCAAGGACACUUUAAUGGUGAAGUCAGAGUGAGGCUCAAACCUGUCAAAUGUUAAAUGAUAAUAAGGAUGGAUACAUAAAUAUUUUAUCUUGCAUAAGGUUAUGUAAUUAAGUUGGUUCACCCGCAGAACAUGAAUGAGUGCCUCUGAUGGAGAUGACAACUUCUUUGGUGCGGGGUAACCAGAAGGGAACAUAUCUGGCAGGGAGAUGAUCAGGUCAAUGGCUUGCUCAUCCACACACAACACACAGAGAGAGAGACAGAGAGAGAGAGAGAGAGACAGAGACAGAGACAGAGAGAGAGAACUGAGUUACUUAGAGACAGAGUAAUUGGAGCUACUCAGUGAAACAACAAAUAGUGCAAUUGUAAUUUCAGAAGGAUUGCAAAACCUUACCAGCAGGUAGUCCCAUCGGUGGCUUCAGGACCUUCUUAUAGACACCAUAAAAGGAGAGUUUGGUUCUGUAGUCUGCCCAGCGCUCCUUCAGCUCUUUCACAUAAUGCACGUUGUCCUUCGCCACUAUUCGUCUCAGCUCCUCAAGAACCUUGGCAUUAUAUUGCAAAAAAGGGGAUUAAUACAACAUGUUUUUCUUAAAAUACAAGGAUACAGGCUGACCGGUACAUUCUUCCUUUAAUUCUGAGUAGUGAGUGUACUUACAUGGUCUAUGUUCUUGAAGCACGAGUAGGCCUCAAGGAUUUUGCCAGGUCUGUCGGCUUCCUUGAGGGUCUCCGAAUCGAUGAACUGCCUUCUUCCCUCAAUUCAAGUUCAAGGAGCUGUGAGACAUCGUCUUGGUUUUGCUUAUUCUUCCGGCACAUCUCUUGGAGAUGUCUGUAGUGCCUAGCCUGAGACAUCCUACUGUCGUGUCCUAAGU